rnacentral:rRNA from 1 species
CCUACGGGCGGCAGCAGUGAGGAAUAUUGGUCAAUGGGCGAGAGCCUGAACCAGCCAAGUCGCGUGCAGGAUGAAGGAUCUCUGGUUUGUAAACUUCUUUUAUAUGGGAAUAAAUUGAGGAACGUGUUCCUUUUUGUAUGGACCAUAUGAAUAAGCAUCGGCUAACUUAGUGCCAGCAGCCGCGGUAAUACGGAGGAUGGGAGCGUUAUCCGGAUUUAUUGGGUUUAAAGGGUGCGUAUGUGGGUUAUUAAGUUAGCUGUGAAAGUUCGUGGCUCAACCAUAAAAUUGCCGUUGAAACUAGUUAACUUGAGUAUAUUUGAGGUAGGCGGAAUGCGUGGUGUAGCGGUGAAAUGCAUAGAUAUCACGCAGAACUCCGAUUGCGAAGGCAGCUUACUAAGCUAAAACUGACACUGAAGCACGAAAGCGUGGGGAUCAAACAGGAUUAGAUACCCCUGUAGUC